CCUUGUUCUGCCCUUUUUGGCCAACCCUUGCUCUGCCCUUGUUCGAGCUGCUUAGCCCUCUGUUCAGCCCUCUACGCCGCGUGUUCGAGCCUCUGUUCCGCCGCCUUUCAGCCACCGUUCUACCGUUGUUCAGCCUCCGUUCAGCCAUUUCCGUCGCGUUUUAAAGCUCCUCCCUCUCCCUGUACGGUUUGAAUUUCAGAACUGCUCCAUCCUAGGUACAGGGCUUAAGCUGUGUGGCAUUGUACAGAGUUGAUGCUUCGGGAAACUGUGCUGCUCCAGUUGCAUUCGGCAUCGUUGCACCAACGCACAUGCUAUCAUUGGCUUGUUUCCCUUUCUUGUUUUGAAAUUGAUUCCCGUUGAUGACUUCCCAUGGCGGCUAUGGAGCUCAAGCACUGCCUCCUCCAUGGCCUCAACUCCUUCAACCACCUCAGGACCGCCCACUGUCGCCUCCUCCGACUCUACAUCGACCACAAUAACUACCUUCUCAACAUCAUCCUCCAGCAUUCAUUUUUCUUUCGCAACAUGCCCUACGCCAAGCGCAUCUUCUCCCAAUCCAAGAACCCUAACAUAUACCUCUUUAACACUAUGAUCCGCGGAACGGUCUCCAACGACUCCUUCGACGACGCUGUUCUGUUUUACAACUCAAUGCGCAACGCCGGGUUCUUGCCAGACAACUACACGUUCACUUUUGUACUCAAAGCGUGUGCCAGGUUGGCGAAUUUUCUGUUUGGCGUCAAGCUCCAGUCGCUUGUUGUGAAAAUGGGAUUUGAUUGUGACGUGUUUGUCAAGACAAGUCUUGUUUGUUUGUAUUCGAAAUGUGGGUACUUAAAGGAUGCACGGAAGCUGUUUGAUGAUAUUCCGGAGAAGAAUGUUGUUUCGUGGACCGCUAUUAUCUGUGGGUAUAUUGGAUGCGGCCUUCACGAGGAAGCAAUUGGUUUGUUUAGGGAGUUGUUAGAGGUGGGCGUGAAGCCGGAUAAUUUCACUCUCGUUCGGGUUUUGUAUUCGUGUUCUCAGUUAGGGGACUUGGCUAGUGGAGAGUGGAUUGAUAAGUAUAUAACUGAGUGUGGUUUCCAUAGGAAUGUGUUUGUGUUGACUUCUUUGGUUGACAUGUAUGCCAAGUGCGGGAGCAUGGAGAAGGCGCGACAGGUUUUUGAUGGAAUGGUUGAGAGAGAUAUUGUUUGUUGGAGUGCCAUGAUUCAGGGCUAUGCAUCCAACGGGCUUCCUAAGGAAGCACUUGACUUGUUCUUUGAGAUGCAGAGGGAGAAUCUGAGGCCUGAUUGCUAUGCCAUGGUGGGAGUUCUUUCUGCAUGUGCGAGGUUGGGAGCACUGGAGUUAGGGAAUCAGGUUAAGGGAUUGUUGGAUGCUGAUGAGUUUUUGUUGAAUCCUGUACUAGGGACUGCCUUGAUUGACUUUUAUGCUAAAUGUGGAAACAUUGCACAAGCGGUGGAUAUUUUCAGAAUGAUGAAGGGAAAGGAUCGUGUGGUGUUCAACGCCAUAAUUUCUGGACUGGCUAUGAAUGGACAUGUUCGGGCCACAUUUGGGGUAUUUGGACAAAUGGAGAAGUAUGGAAUUCAGCCAGAUGGGAAUACUUUUGUUGGCUUACUUUGCGGGUGUACCCAUGCUGGUUUGGUUAAUGAUGGUCAACGAUAUUUCGAUAGCAUGAGUCAUGUCUUUUCUUUAAGUCCUACUAUUGAGCAUUAUGGAUGCAUGGUGGAUCUUUUAUCCCGUGCAGGCUUGUUGGUUGAAGCACAUAAUUUGAUCAAGAGUAUGCCAAUGAAACUGAAUACUAUUGUUUUGGGGGCAUUAUUGGGAGGAUGUAGGUUGCAUUGUGAUAUUAAAUUGGCAAAACCCGUGUUAAAGCAGCUGAUUGAGUUAGAACCAUGGAAUUCAGGACAUUAUGUUCUCUUAUCAAAUAUAUAUUCAGCAAGUCAUAGAUGGGAUGAAGCAGAAAAAGUUAGGUUAACGCUAAACGAGAAAGGAAUGCAAAAAUUACCUGGGUGUAGUUGGGUUGAAGUGGAUGGGGUUGUUCAUGAAUUCCUUGUAGGAGAUACUUCCCAUCCUAUGUCAUCGAAGAUAUAUGAAAAACUUGAAAGUUUGUUUAAGGAAUUGAGAGAAGUCGGUUAUAGUCCAAUUACUGAGUUUGUGCUCUUUGAUAUAGAGGAAGAGGAGAAGGAGUACUUCCUUGGCUGUCAUAGUGAGAAAUUAGCCGUUGCAUUUGCCCUGAUCAAUACUGCGGCAAAUGACAUCAUUCGUGUUGUUAAAAAUCUACGCGUAUGUGGUGAUUGUCAUGAGGCAAUAAAACUCAUUUCCAAAGUUACAGGGAGAGAGAUAAUCAUUAGGGAUAAUAAUAGAUUCCAUUGUUUCAGAGAAGGUUCAUGUUCUUGUGGAGAUUAUUGGUAACAUUUUGUGAUGUAGACUAGUAUAGAUUCAUAUUGUUUGUGCCGAGUUACUCCUCACUGGUUUUGUGGAUCGUUGGCUUUCUCCUCCUUUAGGUGCAAUAAAGUUGAAUGUUGAUGGUUGUUUGUUUGGUGAUGGUACCUCUUAACAGAAUUGUUGGUGCGAAUUGGGUGCUGGAAUUUGUUGGGAAGACUUCCUAUGCAGACAUUACUCCGGUUGAGUUUGCGGCAAAGAGUGGGCUGAGCUAACCUGAAAGCAUGGCUUCUGUAGUAUUGUGCACGAGAUGGAUUACUGGGAGUCUUUUUCCUUGCGCCAGUGUCACCGGGCAAAUGGGUCCAUAUGCUCAGUGGCUGAUAUUUGCAAUUCAUGGGCUCCUAAGGCGUGCUUGGUAGGUUUGUUGUGUCUUGAUUCCUAGGAAUGCAAACAAAUGUACCAAGGCUUUAACUUGUGGUGGUGCAGCGCAAAGGAAUGACCUCCAAAGCGCAAAGGAAUGACCUCCAAAUCAUUGCGUUUCCUCCAGUAGUGGUUACACAACUUCUGCGAGUUGAUGCUUAUUUGUUUUAGCUUCUAGCUUUUCUUUGUUUCUACUUCCUAUACUCUACCAAAACCAAGAGCUUAAUGAAAUUGACUUUGAUGAGGGUUAUAUUGACUUGUAACAUUUGUGUGCCACAUAUAAUUGUUUACACAUAGCAUAAGAUGCAGUUUUGAAGACAUUGAGACAUUUUGCGGAAUCGCUACAAGCAAACCAAUUCUCACCACUUUGUCAAGCAGGAGAGCAUGCUAGCUUGCAGUGAUCAAUCUCAUUGUAUAAUAGCAGGAAGGAAGCUCUCACUGAUAGAAAGGGCUCAAAGGUUCCCUGGUUCUUUCUGGUUUUGUAUUGCAUCACAAUUUUGGGGGCAAAAGGCCAAAGUACACCUUUCACAAGCACUUUCUUCUCUGUCCUAGUGCAGCUCUUACCUUGCAGGACAACAGUUGCUCCUUUCAGCCCCAUCCCACCUUCCGACGACUGCUGUAAUGCCGUCAUGGCAUUAGGUCAACCACUCAACCGUGUUUGUGUUUUCUUGUGAAUGGCCCUUCGAUAUCUGGUGUAGACCAGAACAUGGCUUUGCAACUUCCAGAGAAGUGCGCUGCAAACUUCGAGCCAUGUGAUAUCAUGAAGUGAAGAGGCUAGAGACUAGAGCAGAUAUGCAUUUUUAGACUCAAGUAUUUUUAUUAGGCGCCACCUUUGUAGUGCUUCUCACAAUAAGGUUGCAUGGGAUUAUGUGAUGAAUGAAAAUUAGGUUGAGUUCAAUCCAUGUUGCUGUAUGGUUACAUAGAGCAUCAUGUGAAAACAUAAGUCCUUAUCCAUCAUGCAUGUUCUUUCACUAUGAUCAUUCUAAUAUAUAUCUCUUACUCCACUA